rnacentral:rRNA from 1 species
AUUGAACGCUGGCGGCAGGCCUAACACAUGCAAGUCGAACGAGUGGCGGACGGGUGAGUAAUGUCUGGGAAACUGCCUGAUGGAGGGGGAUAACUACUGGAAACGGUAGCUAAUACCGCAUACCAUCGGAUGAGCCCAGAUGGGAUUAGCUAGUAGGUGGGGUAAAGGCUCACCUAGGCGACGAUCCCUAGCUGGUCUGAGAGGAUGACCAGCAACACUGGAACUGAGACACGGCCCAGAUUCCUACGGGAGGCAGCAGUGGGGAAGAUUGCGCAAGGGGGGCAAGCCGGAUGCAGCCAUGCCGCGUGUAGGAAGAAGGCCUGCGGGUUGUAAAGUACUUUCGGCGGGGAGGCGUUACCCGCAGAAGAAGCACCGGCUAACUCCGUGCCAGCAGCCGCGGUAAUUC